rnacentral:rRNA from 1 species
UACGUAGGGACCUAGCGUUGUCCGGAAUCAUUGGGCGUAAAGCGCGCGUAGGCGGCCCGGUAAGUCCGUUGUAAAAGUCGAAGGCUCAACCUUCGAAAGCCGAUGGAUACUGCCGGGCUAGAGUACGGAAGAGGCGAGUAGAAUUCCUGGUGUAGCGGUGGAAUGCGCAGAUAUCAGGAGGAAUACCCAUAGCGAAGGCAGCUCGCUGGGACGUUACUGACGCUGAGGCGCGAAGGCCAGGGGAGCAAACGGG